UACAGAGGUGGCAAGCGUUGUUCGGAAUUAUUGGGCGUAAAGAGCUCGUAGGCGGCUUGUCGCGUCGACUGUGAAAACCCGAGGCUCAACUUCGGGCUUGCAGUCGAUACGGGCAGGCUAGAGUUCGGUAGGGGAGACUGGAAUUCCUGGUGUAGCGGUGAAAUGCGCAGAUAUCAGGAGGAACACCGAUGGCGAAGGCAGGUCUCUGGGCCGAUACUGACGCUGAGGAGCGAAAGCGUGGGGAGCGAACAGG
rnacentral:rRNA from 1 species